rnacentral:rRNA from 1 species
CCUACGGGAGGCAGCAGUGGGGAAUAUUGCUCAAUGGACGCGACUCUGAUCCAGCGAAGCCGCGUGAGUGAUGACGUCCCUAGUUAUGGUAAGCCCUUUCAGCAGGGAAGAAAGUGACGGUACCUGAAAAAGAAGCUCCGGCUAAAUACGUGCCAGCAGCCGCGGUCAAACGUAUGGAGCCAGCGUUAUCCCGAUUUACUUGGGGUAAAGGGAGAGUAGGUGGCAGAGCAAGUCCGAAGUGAAAACCCAAAGCUCAACUAUGGGAAUGCCUUUGAAACUGCUCAGCUAGAGUGCAGGAGAGGCAAGUGGAAUGCUUAGUGUAGCGGUGAAAUGCGUAGAUAUUAGGAAGAACUCCAGUGGCGAAGGCAGCGUACUGGACUGUAACUGACACUGAGGCUCGAAAGCGUGGGGAGCAAACAGGAUUAGAUACCCGUGUAGUC